rnacentral:rRNA from 1 species
CUUAGUGGCGGACGGGUGAGUAACGCGUGAGUAACCUGCCUUUCAGAGGGGGAUAACGUUCUGAAAAGAACGCUAAUACCGCAUAAGACCACAGCACCGCAUGGUGCAGGGGUAAAAACUCCGGUGGUACAGGAUGGACCCGCGUCUGAUUAGCUGGUUGGUGAGGUAACGGCUCACCAAGGCGACGAUCAGUAGCCGGCUUGAGAGAGUGAACGGCCACAUUGGGACUGAGACACGGCCCAAACUCCUACGGGAGGCAGCAUG